AACAAUUUUUUAUCAUUAAAGGGGCAAUUGCCUCGUAUAUAGAUGGGGGUAUACCACAUUAGCUUUGGCGUAAGGUAAUGGCUUACGUAGGCGAUGAUGUGUAGUUGGCCCGAGAGGGUGACCAGCCACACUGGAAUUGAGAUAAGGUCCAGACUCCUCCGGGAGGCAGCAGUAAGGAAUUUUUCACAAUGGACGAAAGUCUGAUGGAGCAAUUUCGCGUGCUCGAUGAAGGUCUUAGGAUUGUAAAGAGCUGUCGCAAGGGAAAAAAAGAAAGAUAAUUGGAAUGUAUCUUUUUUGAUGGUACCUUGCUAUUAGUUACGGCUAACUAUGUGCCAGCAGCCGCGGUAAUACAUAGGUAGCAAGCAUUAUCCGGAAUUAUUGGGUGUAAAGCGUGAGUAGGCGGUUUAUUAAGUCUAUGGUCAAAUAUCAAGGCUCAACCUUAGAUGUGCCAUGGAAACUAAUAGACUAGAACGUAAAGGAAGGUAGUGCAAUUCUGCAAGUAAUGGUGAUAUAUUUCGAUAUGCAGGAGAACACCUGAGGCGUAGGCGACUAUCUAAUUUAUUGUUGACGCUCAAUCACGAAGGUAUGGGUAUCGAAUAGCAUUAGUCCGCUAGUAGUCCAUACAGUAAACGAUGAGCACUAAAUAUUGGCAGUAUUGUCAGUCAUUAAAGUUAACACGUUAAGUGCUCCACCUGAGUAGUACGUUCGCAAGAAUAAAACUCAAAGGAAUUGACGGGGACUAGCACAAGUGGUGGAGCGUGUGGUUUAAUUCGAUUCUAAGCGAAGAACCUUACCAAGGUUUGACAUUUGGUGCAAAGCUAUAGAAAUAUAGUGGAGGCUAUCAUCAAACAGGUGGUGCAUGGUUGUCGUCAGUUCGUGUCGUGAGAUGUAAGGUUAAGUCCCAUAACGAACGCAACCCUUCUUUUUAGUUGCUA
rnacentral:rRNA from 1 species